rnacentral:rRNA from 1 species
CAGCCGCCACGGUAAUACGUAGGGUGCGAGCGUUAAUCGGAAUUACUGGGCGUAAAGCGUGCGCAGGCGGUUGUGUAAGACAGGUGUGAAAUCCCCGGGCUUAACCUGGGAACUGCGCUUGUGACUGCACAGCUAGAGUAUGGCAGAGGGGGGUGGAAUUCCACGUGUAGCAGUGAAAUGCGUAGAGAUGUGGAGGAAUACCGAUGGCGAAGGCAGCCCCCUGGGCCAAUACUGACGCUCAUGCACGAAAGCGUGGGGAGCAAACAGGAUUAGAUACCCCCGUAGUCCCUGUCUCUUAUAC